rnacentral:antisense_RNA from 1 species
CUCAUUUAAUUGCUCGGCAAACGAAAUAAUUGCAUCCAACUGUUUUGUAAAUUUUUCGGCUUCUUCUUCUGUAAUCGCAAGUCUUGCC